GCAUAUUCACAGAACCAUAGAGAGAUUGAUUUUCAAGGAUGGGCUCACAUGAUUGUGGAGACUUGUCUGUCCUGGGCCCAGGAUCGGAGGCCGGGAGGGAGCCAGCCAGCAUGGUCCCACACACAAGCAAGCCCUGCAGCCGACAUGGAACCCAGGUCUGGCGGCCGCAGGUUCUUCUCACGAUGCCCUGCAGUCUACCUCCCAGUCUGCCGUGGACCACACGAGGUGCUGGCACAGAGGGAAUACUGUGACCGUCUUCCUACAGCAUCGUCACCACCAGACAGUCUGUGCUGACCCACCACAAGGUUGAAAAUCCUCCUCCACUUCUGUGUGUCCAGAAUUAAAACGACAGCAACAACAAAAAACUAUUCUAAACCAUUAAAAGGCCAAAGAUAGAGAGUAGGAAAAGUGCCUAGCUCGGG
rnacentral:lncRNA from 1 species